AUAAAAGGUCCUUGCACCAUUUUUCUUCCCUCACUCUCGCUGUGUCAAAGGGUUGACGUGAUGCCUUCAAGUCUACAGUUUUUAGAUAUUUACCCGGUUCCUGAAAAGCCAGGAUGACAUUAAGCUGGGGAAGGUUAAAGGUAUGGGGUCCUAUUGGACCAAGAGAUGGGUGACCAAAGAUCGGUUGCAGGGCUGAAGUGUCUGGACUGUGAAGGCGCACACCCCUUUGUGUGAUCAAUGCACUGCUGGCAGCUUAAUGUUUUCAAGAUGAUCUUCACAGCAUUGCUGGACGAGUGCACCUUCAAUCUAGACGCCGUCAUAGAAAUGUGGUGCAGGACUUGGACACAUCUGUAAAUGGAACUUGAGUUCUCAGCUUCUACUAACAUCCUCCACCUUUCCUGCCAUCAGGUAAAGAUGGAUCAUGAGAAGAUGCUGUCGGAGUCCCCUUGUCCUGAGCAGCAAGUCUUUAGCUGACAGGAGUAAACUGAAGUCUGGAGUUUUCAAGGUUUAUGUCUCCAUGAGUUUUAUUUUCCAAGUUUGAGAAACCAAAAGCUGCUUUCACUGUAACUGUAAAAUUGCAAAUAAAGAUAUAUGAAAGCU